rfam:Tepidimonas fonticaldi strain PL17 contig_6, whole genome shotgun sequence.
UCGCGUCCGCCAACCGGUUCAGCCGUGUCGCGGAAGGUUGUUCCAACCAGCAAGUCUCCUGCAGGGAGACGGAGGUCAGCG